rnacentral:rRNA from 1 species
AUGCCCACGCCAGCAAUCGCAGCUGACUCACCUAACCAAUUCCGUGGCAAGCUUCGACUCCCGCGCUUUGCUAUGCCAACCCACUAUAAGCUCCAUUUCCACCCCAACCUCGUCUCCUCAACAUUUUCUGGUGUGGUGUCAAUUAAUGUCUUUGUUUUAGCACCCACUCGUUUCCUUGUGCUAAAUGUUGUGGAACUCACAAUUGACCAUGCUUCUAUCCACUUCAAGCAUUUGGCGCCAACCGACGUGGUGUUCUUCAAGGACGAUCAGAUUAUGGUACUCGGGUUUCGUAAAGAUCUUCCACUAGGUGAAGGUGUGCUAAGGAUGCACUUCAAUGACACACUUAGUGAUCAGAUGAGGGGAUUUCAGAGAGGUAAAUACCAGUAUAAGGGGGAGAUGGCAUACAUGGCAUACACAGUGUUUGAGUCCGUGCAUGCACGGCGGUGUUUCCCCUGUUGGGAUGAACCUGAUUUCAAGGCGAAGUUCAAACUAAGUUUAGAAGUUCAUUCUGACUUGGUAGCUCUAUCCAACACGCCUGUACUUGGUGAGACGGUUGAUGGUUCUAUCAAGAAUGUCCAUUUUGAGGAAUCACCCCUCAUGUCAACUUAUUUAGUUGCCAUGGUUGUUGGUCUUUUUGAGUUUGUAGAGGGUGUGACAUCACAGGGCCCCAAAGUCCGCGUGUACACUGAAGUUGGCAAGACUAAACAGGGACAGUUUGCAUUGGAAAUUGGAGUGAAGUCAUUGGAUCUCUAUAAUGAUUACUUUGACACUCCUUAUGCACUCCCUAAGCUGGACAUGAUUGGAAUCCCUGACUUUCCCGGGGGCUUGGAAAACUUUGGAUUGGUCACAUUCGGAGAGGGAGGUCUUCUUUUGGAUGAGACGUCUACAACAUCCACCAAACUACGUCGAAUUGCAGUUUCUGUGGCACAUGAAUUAGCUCAUCAAUGGUGUGGCAAUCUUGUAACCAUGGAAUGGUGGAAUAACAUAUGGCUAAGCGAGGGAUUUGCUACAUGGAUGAACUAUGAAGCAGUAGAUACUUUUUUUCCUCAGUGGAAUAUUUGGAUGGCAUUUCUUGAGGGCACAAUUCGAACUCUUAGAUUGGAUUCCGUGACGGGAUCUCAACCAAUCGAGGUUGAAAUACACCAUACCAAUGAAAUCGAUGGCAUUUUUUAUGACAUCAUAUAUUUUAAAGGUGCUUCUGUUCUUCGCAUGCUACGAAGUUACCUUGGGGCAAAGCGUUUCCAGAAAGCAUUGGCUUCGUAUGUAAAGAAAUUUGCCUACUCGAAUGCUAAAACGGAGGACCUAUGGAAGGUGAUUGAAGAGGAAACUGGUGAACCGUUGAGAGAUUUGAUGACUCCUUGGAUGAAGGAACCAGGAUAUCCUUUUAUUAAUGUAAAACAUGAAGGGGAACACAUCCAACUUGAACAGGCCCAUUUUGACUUAGAUGGAUCCUCUCGAGCUAGCUUGUGGGAUGUGCCAAUAGCACUAAGAUGUUCCUCAUCAACAUAAAAGUUCAUUUUGAAACAUAAGAAUGAUAAGUUGGAUUUAUGUUGUAAACGACAGAAGGAUGGAAAUAUUUGGAUUAAACUUAAUAUAAAUGAAACGGGGUUUUACCGAGUCAAGUAUGAUAAAGAAAUUACAGCUACACUUUCAUACGCCUUAGAGGCGAGCAAGUUCUCUUCAAUGGAAAAAAAUGGAAUUUUGGACAACUCACUUGUGCUUUCCAUCUUCUAUGAACACACACUAGCUUCGUUGCUACAGAUAGCUUACGCCUGUCGUGAAGAAGCUGACUACAAUGUUCUCCCACACAUAUUGGAUAUAACUACAAGCGUUUCCCAAAUAAUAUUUGAUGCCACACCUAACUUGGGUGGUGACAUCAAACAACUUCUCAUCAAAAUUAUUUUGUCACCUACCUUAAAGUUAGGAUGGGACUCCAAGGAUGCUGAGGGAGACCUACUUGUAGGUCUUAGAGAAACUCUCUUAGUUUCCCUUGUUAAACUUGGACAUGAUAAAACCAUUAAUGAAGGUGUUAAGCGCUUCGACAUAUUAAAGCAUGAUCACAACUCUACUAUACUUUCUCCGCAUGUUAGAAAGGCUGCCUACCUAUCUGUGAUGAAAAGGACUAGCAGCUUAGACAGAUCUGGCUAUGAUGAUCUUCGCCAAUUCUACAAUGACAUAGGAUAUGGGGAGGAAAAGUUACGCAUCUUAGGUGUAUUGUCUUCUUGCCCGGAUAUGGAUAUUGUUCUGGAGUCAUUGAAUUUAAUAUUCACUGAUGAGGUCCCAAAUCAAAAUGCAGUUGAUGUUCUUAAUGGUAUUACGGUAGAGGCACGUGAAAUUGCAUGGACCUGGUUAAAGGUACAUUCUAUUUUAUUGAGGAUGGUGGCCAUAUAG